rnacentral:hammerhead_ribozyme from 1 species
AUCUGGAUGACGAGUCUCAAAUAGGACUAAAUGCACAUCCUGGAU